CAUUAUUGUUACCGAGUGGCUCAGACAAAUCAGGGAUGGAGGCAGAAUGUUUCGUCGACACAGUUCGACACAGGACAAGUAUUUUGACUAUAGGCAAUAAAUGUAGUUUAGAACACGAACAAGUAUUACAUAUAAAUUGUGAAUAGUGAUACCUAGGAGUCGAAGAAGAUUGGUAGAGUGAAUUUCUUGGAUCGAAGGACACAAGUUCGCGAUACGAGAAAUGGACGUGUAGUGUCAGAAACGUGGGGUUUGGAGCAGAUGAAACAUAAUUACAGUUGGGGUAGGGAACAUUAGGGUUAAACAGUAACAUAGUAGUGCGAUGUGGUUGGUCUGUCUUCGCAUCAUUCUUCGUUACGCUAGACUUGGGUGGUAGAUUCUAGAUGCGUAGUUUUCGCCGGAACAGUGGUCAACCCUGGUUAUCAAUUUUUUACAUGAGGUUUUCUUUAGUCUUCAAGGCUUUUUUCAAGGAUCUAGUGUCGCUCAUACCUCAGUUUUGAUAUCUUAGCAAGUGUAAAAUUUGUUCUCGAUUUUGCAUCUACAAGCGUGCGCGAUUUUUCAUUUGUAGGAUUCUUGAUAGUGGAUGGAUUGUGGAUUAUUUUCUUUCUGUGAUUCUUGAUGGGAUUUCCCAUUUAUUGCGAAACAACCUAUGUAUCUUAUGGGGAUGGUACAAGCUCGCGUUCUUUUUUUGUAAAGCAAACGAAUUUUUUCUAACCACUUCGAAGGGUCGAGCUGUUUUCUCUUGUUUCUUUAUUGACUUUGGUUCUUUGGCCGUUGUUGACGCGUUUCGUCCUUCUUUUCAACAUGGCCUUAUUAUGCAAGUUGUACUCCGUUCUUCACGGAUUUUUCACAGCUUAAUGCGGUUGAUUUAUAAUCACAUUGCUCACGAUCCACUUCGGUUCAUAUAAUGCUACAAAACUUAAAGGAGGAAACUGAGGGAAAAUAAGGAAUGCUGUUGCCCGGCUAAAAAGGCAAAGUCUAAUUGCAGGCCUGACAAUGAGCUUAAUAGGGAUGGAGACCCAAUUUUCGAUGAAGAUGAUGAUCAAUUCUACAUUGCAUGUUUUUCGCUUUUGAUUUUAUUUUUUCCAAUAAACAGU